rnacentral:rRNA from 1 species
AAUAGAUUACCCGGGUAGUCCACGCCGUAAACGAUGAGUGCUAAGUGUUAGAGGGUUUCCGCCCUUUAGUGCUGCAGCUAACGCAUUAAGCACUCCGCCUGGGGAGUACGGCCGCAAGGCUGAAACUCAAAGGAAUUGACGGGGGCCCGCACAAGCGGUGGAGCAUGUGGUUUAAUUCGAAGCAACGCGAAGAACCUUACCAGGUCUUGACAUCCUCUGCCGACCCUAGAGAUAGGGCGUUCCCCUUCGGGGGACAGAGUGACAGGUGGUGCAUGGUUGUCGUCAGCUCGUGUCGUGAGAUGUUGGGUUAAGUCCCGCAACGAGCGCAACCCUUGAUCUUAGUUGCCAGCAUUCAGUUGGGCACUCUAAGGUGACUGCCGGUGACAAACCGGAGGAAGGUGGGGAUGACGUCAAAUCAUCAUGCCCCUUAUGACCUGGGCUACACACGUGCUACAAUGGAUGGUACAAGAGCAGCGAACCCGCGAGGGUAAGCCAAUCUCAUAAAGCCAUUCUCAGUUCGGAUUGUAGG